UACGGAGGGUGCAAGCGUUAAUCGGAAUCACUGGGCGUAAAGGGCACGCAGGCGGUUUGUUAAGUCAGGUGUGAAAUCCCCGGGCUUAACCCGGGAAUUGCAUUUGAUACUGGCCAGCUAGAGUCCUGUAGAGGGGGGUAGAAUUCCAUGUGUAGCGGUGAAAUGCGUAGAGAUGUGGAGGAAUACCGGAGGCGAAGGCGGCCCCCUGGACAGAUACUGACGCUCAGGUGCGAAAGCGUGGGGAGCAAACAGG
rnacentral:rRNA from 1 species